GCUGCCCGCUCGGGCCGCUGUAAUGCGAGCGUGCGAAUCGAAUCGCUCACAUACAUAUACACAAGAGAGGGGCGAGAAGACACGAUAGGAAGAGAAAAGAGAGCGAAAUAGAAUGGGGGCUGACGAAGGAAAUGGAGAAACCGAGAGGGAAGAGGAGGAGCUUGCCUCGAGGCGAUAAAGGCGGAGUGAUAGAAGACAGAAAAGCCAGAGACGCAGAGAACCGCACGCGGCACCCGCGAUGUCGCCUCGACGGGCAAACAUCAGCGCAGUCGGUCGGUCGGUCUGUUGACGACAUAGAAGAGGCUUCACAUCGUGAAUGAGAUAGUAUGGGUGGAGAAGAGAGAUGAGAGAAGAUGGAGAGACAGGGA
ensembl:ncRNA W06H8.13 ncRNA